UACGGAGGGGGCUAGCGUUAUUCGGAAUUAUUGGGCGUAAAGGGCGUGUAGGCGGCUUCGUGUGUCCCAUGUGAAAGCCCUCGGCUUAACCGAGGAACUGCAUGGGAAACUGCGGAGCUUGAGUCCGGGAGAGGAGAGCGGAAUUCCCAGUGUAGCGGUGAAAUGCGUAGAUAUUGGGAGGAACACCAGUGGCGAAGGCGGCUCUCUGGACCGGUACUGACGCUGAGGCGCGAAAGCUAGGGGAGCAAACGGG
rnacentral:rRNA from 1 species